rnacentral:rRNA from 1 species
UAGAGGAAGUAAAAGUCGUAACAAGGUUUCUGUAGGUGAACCUGCAGAAGGAUCAUUGU